AGUUCUUUACCUAGAUGACGGUUUCGUAUUCGCAUCAUCUAAACAUGAAUGUUUGUCAGUUUCUGAAUUCAUCAAAAGUAGUUUAUCAGAAUUUGGGCUACUUAUCAAUAUUGAAAAAUCAGUAUUUUAUCCAACUCAGAAUUUAGAAUGGUUAGGAAUUUUGUGGGAUUCAAAGUCUUUUUCUAUUUCAGUGCCCAAAAGACGUCUUGACGACACAGUUGCUUCUUUACAGCAAUUGGUGAAGUGUUUUCCUAAAGUGACGGCGAGACAAUUGGCGAGAGUUGUGGGAAAAAUAAUGUCAAUGUCACCAGUUAUGGAUAUAUUUAAAACGGGAAGGUGGUCCGAUAGUGUAAGGAUUGAAGAUCAGCGAUUACAACAGCUACGGGACCUUUUACCAACUUUCUGUCUUAAAUCAAGAGCAGGCAAUACAUCGAGUCAAUACAGAUUACAAAUCAUCAAACAAAAUUCAACUAGCUACACAUUCUAUAAGUUGGUCCCAUCAGUUAGCAGGACUAAAAGAUCCAUGUGAAUCUGCGUUAGUGAAGUUAAC